UAACAAGGAUUCCCCUAGUAACUGCGAGUGAAGCGGGAAAAGCUCAAAUUUGAAAUCUGGCGGUCCUUGUGGCUGUCCGAGUUGUAAUUUAGAGAAGUGUUACCCGUGCUGGACCGUAUACAAGUCCUCUGGAAUGGGGCGUCAUAGAGGGUGAGAAUCCCGUCUUUGAUACGGACUACCAGUGCUUUGCGGUGCGCUCUCGAAGAGUCGAGUUGUUUGGGAAUGCAGCUCAAAAUGGGUGGUAAAUUCCAUCUAAAGCUAAAUACAGGCGAGAGACCGAUAGCGAACAAGUACCGUGAGGGAAAGAUGAAAAGAACUUUGGAAAGAGAGUUAAACAGUACGUGAAAUUGCUGAAAGGGAAACGCUUGAAGUCAGUCGCGUUGGCUCGGAAUCAACCAUGCUCUUGCUUGGUGUACUUCCUUGUCGAUGGGUCAGCAUCAGUUUCGAUCGCUGGAUAAAGGUCAUUGGAAUGUGGCACCCUCGGGUGUGUUAUAGCCUUUGAUCGUAUACAGUGGUUGGGACUGAGGAACUCAGCACGCCGCAAGGCCGGGUUUUUAACCACGUAACGUGCUUAGGAUGCUGGCAUAAUGGCUUUAAUCGAC
rnacentral:rRNA from 1 species